rnacentral:rRNA from 1 species
GACGAACGCUGGCGGCGUGCUUAACACAUGCAAGUCGAACGGAAAGGCCCUGCUUGCAGGGUACUCGAGUGGCGAACGGGUGAGUAACACGUGGGUGAUCUGCCCUGCACUUCGGGAUAAGCCUGGGAAACUGGGUCUAAUACCGGAUAGGAGCCAUUUUUAGUGUGAUGGUUGGAAAGUUUUUUCGGUGUAGGAUGAGCUCGCGGCCUAUCAGCUUGUUGGUGGGGUAAUGGCCUACCAAGGCGGCGACGGGUAGCCGGCCUGAGAGGGUGGACGGCCACAUUGGGACCGAGAUACGGCCCAGACCCCUACGGGAGGCAGCAGUGGGGAAUAUUGCACAAUGGGCGCAAGCCUGAUGCAGCGACGCCGCGUGGGGGAUGACGGCCUUCGGGUUGUAAACUCCUUUCGCUAGGGACGAAGCUUUUUGUGACGGUACCUAGAGAAGAAGCACCGGCUAACUACGUG